UCUUUCCGUGACUUUGUUGGUAACUCAAAACCCUUCAUUAAAAUGAAUGGAAAUAACAUUAGGCGGCACGGUGGUUGACUGUUUAGCACAUCCACCUCACAGUUCUGUGGACCCGGGUUCAAGUCCGGCCUCACCUGUGUGGAUUUGGCAUGUUCUCCCCGUGCCUGCGUGGGGUUCACCGGUUUCCUCCCACAUCCCAAAAACAUGCACGCCUGCCUCAGACAUGAUUCAUGAACUUCUUACCAGAGAAGUCACUCUUAUUCUCAUCAAAAGCAUCCACCAUGCCCAUGCCGACCAGGACUUUCCCCAACUCAUAAGUCACCUCCAUUUUGAAUCGAGGCAGGCCCACCUGGACCUCAACUUCUAACUCCAUGUUGUCUGAACGAGUCCACGUCAUCAUUUUUUCAUAGGUGAGUUCCUGCUCCAACUAUCAAGGUGACAAUUAUCAAACCAAAUAGCAUGUCUGUUUAAUUUUGUGUGUUGUUUUUUCCCAAUUAAAUAUGUCAUGUUUUUACCUUC